rnacentral:rRNA from 1 species
GACGAACGCUGGCGGCGUGCUUAACACAUGCAAGUCGAACGGAAAGGCCCCCUUGUGGGGUACUCGAGUGGCGAACGGGUGAGUAACACGUGAGUAACCUACCCUUGACUUUGGGAUAACUUCAGGAAACUGGGGCUAAUACCGGAUAGGAGCUCCUGCUGCAUGGUGGGGGUUGGAAAGUUUCGGCGGUUGGGGAUGGACUCGCGGCUUAUCAGCUUGUUGGUGGGGUAGUGGCUCACCAAGGCUUUGACGGGUAGCCGGCCUGAGAGGGUGACCGGCCACAUUGGGACUGAGAUAGGGCCCAGACUCCUACGGGAGGCAGCAGUGGGGAAUAUUGCACAAUGGGCGGAAGCCUGAUGCAGCAACGCCGCGUGCGGGAUGACGGCCUUCGGGUUGUAAACCGCUUUCGCCUGUGACGAAGCGUGAGUGACGGUAAUGGGUAAAGAAGCACCGGCUAACUACGUG